AAAGACAUAUUUUUGAAACUUUUUAAAAAACAUGAAAUUUCAAGACAACGUUGCAGUGUCGAUUUAAUAAACUUUUUUUUUUACUGCUUAGAUAAACAUAAAUGAACAAGAAUGUAUGUUGGGUUAAUGAUGCUAGGUUUAGUUAAACACAAACACACGCAUGCACUGGCACACAUGCAUACACGCACAAGUGCAUAUAGGCACACUUAUAUGUUGGUGGGUAUAAAACAUUUAACACAUUGAUGUCUGAACUAAAUAAAGGACAUUUAGGAUCAUAUUUGGAUCACCUUAAAGUGAACAAAAAAUAGAUUUUACAUUUGAAACAAACAAAUAAAAUACACAAAUAAAAAUAAUUAAAUAAAUAAAUCAACUUUAGGACGGUACAGAUUUAUGGGGUUCAGUUUGAGUUACUUUAUCUUUGUCUUUAAAAAUCCCCCUUCAUGCAGCCUUACAAGCUGAAAAUAUUUUCUGUUUUCUUGAUUUUAGUCUGCAUCAUAUUGAACAAACAGAAGCCUGGAGGAACCCGAUUUGAAUUUUAAACUGUAUCACAGCCUCACUUGACACAGAUUUCUGAUUGGUUGAUCACAGUGGGAGGGAAAAGUCUGUGGUUGACGUCACCAACGGGCCGGAAUCUGCAAGCGGGAGAAGUGCAGAGAAUGAGAGACUUUUGACGAGCGCUUGUCGUAUUUUUUCUGCGUUUUAACAAUCCGUGGGAUGAAUCUCCAACAUUUUUUUUGCUUGUCUGGAAAAGAUUCAAGUAAAAUCUUUGAAGUUUGCACGGUGAUAUAAAUUCUACACGUGAAAAUGAGUGAAUCAGAACCCAUGUUCCUCCACACUGCCAUUAUGGAGGUCCUACCAGAGCCACACGACAUCCUGGAAGAACACUUGCAGUCCAUUGGAAUAAAUGGAGUUGUAUGAGGAUCUACGAUUCAUAGAAGAGGCUGACUUGCUGCCAGCUUUGAGACCUGUUCAAGCCCGGAAACGUCUUGCUUUCUGGAAAUUGAAAUACCAAACACCAGAGAACAGCACAUCAUCAUCUGUUGAGACCUCACCAACACAAUCAUCAUCACUUUUGUUAUAGUCACCGAGGAGUUCGUCAUCCACAUCUUCCAGAAGCCAAGGACUGUACAUACAUUGACUGGGAGGACUGCUUUGAAAUUCCAUGGAGUAAGUUUUCUGAGGAAUUUGUGCAGUCUUUGGAAAGAGACCUGGCCCAAGACUAAGGAAGGAAAUGGUUUGCACUCUUGUUGCAGAAAUGAUGAAAGCAAGACGUUUUUCCAAACUCUAAAAGGCUGCAGAUGAUGCGGGGAGAGCAGAGUGGCUGCUCAGAAGAGAUGAGAUGUUAAAGAGAUGCUCUUUCUUCUGCUCUGCUACUUUAAUGAGGAGGAUGCCAUGUUCUUGUAGAAGAUGCAGACGAGGUCCAGCUGCAGCAGGUGCCGUUGACUCCAACUGUUAUUUAUGUGGACAGUCUUUCUUUUCCCCAAGGAGGUUCAUGCUCAGUUGGAACCGCUCCAUCGUACACAACAACAUUGCAGCACUGUGCCUGAUGUUCAGAAGCUACUUCUGCUUUAACAGUCAUUAUCCAACUGAUCUGGCUUCAACCCUGGAGUUUCUGCAAAGCUGAUGUCCUGAGAUGUGCCACUCUACCUGGUUGGGAACAAAUUGAAGAGGCCAAGCUCAAGAAAGCCGUUGUCAACAAAUGUAGGGCAGAGCAGGUUCUAAGGCCACUGCUAUGAUCUACAGUAUCCGGACUGGUUUCUCUUCCAUCUUUUUUCUUAUUUUUUAUCUUAAUUUGGUUCUCAAGUUGGUUCAUGGAUUUGAUAGUCUGCAAGUUUCAGAGAAUGUUUUUAUGUUUAUGUUUUUAUAAUGUUUUUUUUCAGUGUCUUGUUUAAAAUCUGGAAGUAUUCAUGACCAGCAUGUCAACCAGAUUGAGUAUGCCACGGUUCAUGUACUUAAUGUAUUUAAUAUUUUAAAAUGUGCCUAAUACUGCUACCACAAUUCAAAUGCUGUACUGAUGAUGGUGCUGCCCAAAUAAAGUGUAAAGCAUUUACA